rnacentral:rRNA from 1 species
UAAGCGGAGGAAAAGAAACUAACAAGGAUUCCCCUAGUAACUGCGAGUGAAGCGGGAAAAGCUCAAAUUUAAAAUCUGGCGGUCUUAGGCCGUCCGAGUUGUAAUUUAGAGAAGCGUCUUCCGCGCCGGACCCGUGCACAAGUCUCCUGGAAUGGAGCGUCAUAGAGGGUGAGAAUCCCGUCUUUGGCACGGAUGCCUGGUGCUUCUGUGAUGCGCUCUCGAAGAGUCGAGUUGUUUGGGAAUGCAGCUCAAAAUGGGUGGUGAACUCCAUCUAAAGCUAAAUAUUGGCGAGAGACCGAUAGCGAACAAGUACCGUGAGGGAAAGAUGAAAAGCACUUUGGAAAGAGAGUGAAACAGUACGUGAAAUUGUUGAAAGGGAAACGCUUGAAGUCAGUCGCGUCGACCGAGACUCAGCCUUGCCUCGGCUUGGUGUACUUCUCGGCCCGACGGGUCAGCGUCAAUUUUGCCCCUCGGAUAAUGGCAAGGGAAAGGUGGCACCUUUACGGGUGUGUUAUAGUCUCCUGUCGCAUGCGAGGGGUGGGAUUGAGGAACUCAGCGCGCACCUUGGUGUCGGGGCUUCGGCCCACGUCACGCGCUUAGGAUGCUGGCGUAAUGGCUUUAAACGACC